rnacentral:rRNA from 1 species
GACGAACGCUGGCGGCGUGCUUAACACAUGCAAGUCGAACGGAAAGGCCCCUUUGGGGGUACUCGAGUGGCGCACGGGUGAGUAACACGUGAGUAACCUGCCCUUGACUUCGGGAUAACUUCAGGAAACUGGGGCUAAUACCGGAUAGGAAUCCUUGCUGCAUGGUGGGGGUUGGAAAGCUUCGGCGGUUUUGGAUGGACUCGCGGCUUAUCAGCUUGUUGGUGGGGUAGUGGCUUACCAAGGCUUUGACGGGUAGCCGGCCUGAGAGGGCGACCGGCCACAUUGGGACUGAGAUGCGGCCCAGACUCCUACGGGAGGCAGCAGUGGGGAAGAUUGCACAAUGGGCGGAAGCCUGAUGCAGCAACGCCGCGUGCGGGAGGACGGCCUUCGGGUUGUAAACCGCUUUCAGCAGGGGCGAAGCUUGUGGUGACGGUACCUGCAGAAGAAGCACCGGCUAACUACGUG